rnacentral:rRNA from 1 species
UACGAAGGGUGCAAGCGUUAAUCGGAAUUAUUGGGCGUAAAGGGUGCGUAGGCGGUUUGGUAAGUCUUGUGUGAAAUCUCCAGGCUCAACUUGGAGUCUGCACGAGAAACUGCCGGACUUGAGUGUGGGAGAGGUGAGUGGAAUUCCUGGUGUAGCGGUGAAAUGCGUAGAUAUCAGGAGGAACACCUGUGGCGAAAGCGGCUCACUGGACCACAACUGACGCUGAUGCACGAAAGCUAGGGGAGCAAACAGG